GAGACUGAGGCAAGAGAAUCGCUUGAACCUGGGAGACAGAGAUAAGAAGUGAUUGGGUCAUCAGGGCUCUGCCCUCAUGAGUGAAUCCAUUCAUGAAUUAAUGAAUUAAUGGGUUAAUGACCAAUAGAUUAUCACUGGAGUGGGACUGGUGGAUUUAUAAUAAGAGAGAGACUUAAGCCAUUACCUACAGCCCUCUGGCCAUAUGAGGCCAUGUGCCCACCCCUCAAGACUGUAGAGGGUUGCCACCAGGAAGGAGGCUCUCACCAAAUGCAUCCCCUGGUUCUUAGACUUUCUCAGCCUCUAGAACUGUGCAAAGUAUCUUUCCAUCAAAAUUACCUGGUUUCAGGUAUUCUUUUAAUCAACAGAAAAUGGACUAUGGAACGGGGUGACAAUGUUAAAGUAUAUUCUUAACGUAUAAUUCUGGAAAAUAGCAAAUAUUAAAGAACCCAUCACAACCCUUUGUGUUAUUGAAAAGAGCUUACUGCAAAGAACCAUGUUUUCCAGUGAGGCGUCCUCAAGUCUAAUGAGAAUAUUCUUGUUUACAUAGAAAAAAGCCAGAUACGCCGGGCGUGGUGGCUCACACCUGUAAUCCCAGCACUUUGGGAGGCUGAGGGAGGCAGAUCACGAGGUCAGGAAUUCGAGACCAGCCUGGCCAACAUAGCGAAACACCAUCUCUACUAAAAAUAUUACAUAUUAGCAAGGAGUGAUGGUGGGCUCCCAUCAUCCCAGCUAGUCGGGAGGCUGAGACAGGAGAAUCGCUUGAACCCAGGAGGCAAGGUUGCAGUGAGCUGAGAUUGUGUCACUGCACUCCAACCUGGGCGACAGAGCAAGAGUCCGUCUCAGGAAAGAAAAAAAAAAAUGGAAAGGAGGAUCCUUUGGACAAUAGCAUUACGUGUCACAUUCCUUCCUUCCGGGCAGAGUUUUGCAUUUCACAGUCUAGUUUGCAUCCCCUUCACAGAUACUUUCAGAGCUUUUAAAGUAAAUUACUUGAAUUAAAUUGAUUUGCAGGAACUUUCUCAGAUCCAAUCACCUUUCCUCCUGGAUCCCCCACGGAAUUCCCAGUUCCCAGACCGCUGAGCUGCAGGAAACUCCCUAGCAGAAUCCAGUCCAACCCGCUGGCAAAAAUAGUUUUGAGAUAAGCCGUUUUCGUCUUGGUAAGAGGAAAACAUUUUCCUUUCCAACACAAGGGGCCCCCACAACACUAAGCUUUUACCUUAAAACUGCACAGGCCCCGCCCCGGGCACUGCCCCCGGCCCCGCCCCGGGCUACCUGGCUCCUCUGCGCGCAUGCGCAGUUUCCUGCAGUCCCGGAAGCAGGUCGCGGUGUGGGCAGGUGACGCCGACGAGCGUGAGUGUACCUCUGUGUAGCUUAAACCUUCGAUUCGCCGUCCCCGUUUCCACACCUCGGUGCCCGGGUGUCUCUGCUGACCUUAAAGUCCCCACACCUCCACCCCAGUAUAUCUUGAGCUCCGUUCUCUGAAUGUGGAGUGACUCUCAGCUUACCCCUUGGACUUCUGGUAUCUGUCCACACCCACUGCCCUUCCUCGUCAUCUCAUCUCAUGGCUUUAACCCCGCCUGCAGGGCUCCAUGUUCCCUGUAGACCUUUCCCCUGAACACUGGAAUCCUGGGUCCAGUUGCCUCCUCGACUCUCCUCUGGGAGUCCAGCAGGCAUCUCCACUUUCAUGUGUUCAGAAGUGACUGAGCUUCCCAGACACAUUCCCCGUGCAAUCCUGCACAUCUCAGAUGAGGGCGACUCUGGAUUUCAGGUGACUUAGCUGAACAUGUCAACAUGUAUUAAAAUUAGUAAAUAAU